GACGAGGGAUCCUAGCGUUGUUCGGAAUCAUUGGGCGUAAAGCGUAUGUAGGCGGCUUUGUAAGUCAGGUGUGAAAGCCCCGGGCUCAACCCGGGAAGUGCAUCUGAUACUGCUUAGCUUGAGUAUGGGAGAGGAUAGUAGAAUUCCUGGUGUAGUGGUGAAAUACGUAGAUAUCAGGAGGAAUACCGGUGGCGAAGGCGGCUAUCUGGCCCUAUACUGACGCUGAGAUACGAAAGCGUGGGGAGCAAACAGG
rnacentral:rRNA from 1 species